rnacentral:rRNA from 1 species
UGGGGAAUUUUCCGCAAUGGGCGAAAGCCUGACGGAGCAAUACCGCGUGAGGGAUGACUGCCUAUGGGUUGUAAACCUCUUUUUUCAGGGAGGAAUAAAUGACGUGUACCUGAAGAAUAAGCAUCGGCUAACUCC